rnacentral:rRNA from 1 species
AGAGUGAACGCUGGCGGUAGGCCUAACACAUGCAAGUCGAACGGCAGCACAGGAGAGCUUGCUCUCUGGGUGGCGAGUGGCGGACGGGUGAGGAAUACAUCGGAAUCUACCUUUUCGUGGGGGAUAACGUAGGGAAACUUACGCUAAUACCGCAUAAGACCUUCGGGUGAAAGCCGGGGACCUUCGGGCCUGGCGCGGAUAGAUGAGCCGAUGUCGGAUUAGCUUGUUGGCGGGGUAAAAGCCCACCAAGGCGACGAUCCGUAGCUGGUCUGAGAGGAUGAUCAGCCACACUGGAACUGAGACACGGUCCAGACUCCUACGGGAGGCAGCAGUGGGGAAUAGUUAGGACAAUGGGCGACAAGGCCUGAUCCAGCCAAUCGCCGCGGUGAGUAGACGUAGGUCCGUUAGGU